CCUACGGGAGGCAGCAGUGGGGGAUAUUGCACAAUGGGGGAAACCCUGAUGCAGCGACGCCGCGUGAGUGAAGAAGUAUUUCGGUAUGUAAAGCUCUAUCAUCAGGGAAGAUAAUGACAGUAUCUGACCAAUAAGCCCCGGCUAACUACGUGCCAGCAGCCGCGGUAAUACGGAGGGUGCAAGCGUUAUUCGGAUUUACUGGGUGUAAAGGGAGCGUAGACGGGAAAGUAAGUCUGGAGUGAAAGCCCGGGGCCCAACCAUCGAACUGCAUUGGAAACUGUGUAACUAGAGUACGGGAGGGGCAGGCGGAAUUCCUGGUGUAGCGGUAAAAUGCGUAGAGAUCAGGAGGAACACUCGCGGCGAAGGCGACCUGCUGGACUAAAACUGACGUUGAGGCGCGAAAGCGUGGGGAGCAAACAGGAUUAGAUACCCCAGUAGUC
rnacentral:rRNA from 1 species